GAAGGAUAAGCGAAAAUCGUGGAAGGAGAAGGAGGAAGCGUGCUCUGUGCGGUUGAGUAUGAGAAGGAGAAGCGAAGAUCGUGGAACAACAGGGUACUCUUGCAUAUGAGGCAGAAAUUGGUUUUGAAAGGCUUGCAGAAACGUCUGGUCAUGUGUGUGGCAAACCUGAAACAAGAACUGAAGAUGCCAAGGUUGCUAACACAGCAAACCUGCUGCUGCUGCUGGAAAAGAGGGAAAAGCUUUGAGCUUUUCUAGGUUGGAUGUGUUUGCUGCUGAACCAUUUGAGAACUUACCACUCCCCUUGCUGCAGAGAGAACAAGAAGGAAAGACCCUCUAAACAGCUUCAAUAAGUAGUUAAGUGGAUGGAAUAUCAAUGACCACCAUUAUUGGGCUGUAAGCUCAUCUAACCAUUGUUACUCUCUCUUCAGUAAUAGUACAUUCUAUGUUUUUUUUUUUGCUUCCCACUGUAUUUUGUUCAUUGUUGUUGGUAAUAGUUUUAUUUUAUGGAACUGCCAUAACCUACUUUGGAAUUAUCAGAAAAAUGAGCAAGGAAGAAUAUACUUUGAAUGCAUCUGAAAUUAGAAAGGCUGUCUAUUAUAUUAUUAACUUAAUACUUUGAAUGGAGCUUGCCCAUAGUUCUUCUGAGAAAAAAAAAGAUGGUUGUUUUG